UGGGAUGUAGCUCAGUGGUAGAGUGCUUGCCUAGCAUGCAUGAGGUCCUGGGUUUGAGUCCCAGCACCACAA